UGCCCACCAAUGUAAGAACCGCCU
rnacentral:siRNA from 1 species